rnacentral:rRNA from 1 species
GAGUCUGACAUGCGUGCGAGUCGACGGGUUCUGAAACCUGGGAUGCGCAAGGAAGCUGACGAGUAGGAGGCCCUCACGGGCCGCACCGCUGGCCGACCCUGAUCUUCUGUGAAGGGUUCGAGUUGGAGCACGCCUGUCGGGACCCGAAAGUUGGUGAACUAUGCCUGAGCGGGGCGAAGCCAGAGGAAACUCUGGUGGAGGCUCGAAGCGAUACUGACGUGCAAAUCGUUCGUCUGACUUGGGUAUAGGGGCGAAAGACUAAUCGAACCAUCUAGUAGCUGGUUCCCUCCGAAGUUUCCCUCAGGAUAGCUGGAGCCCAUUACGAGUUCUAUCAGGUAAAGCCAAUGAUUAGAGGCAUUGGGGACGCAACGUCCUCGACCUAUUCUCAAACUUUAAAUAGGUAGGAUGGCGCGGCUGCUUCGGUGAGCCGUGCCAUGGAAUCGGGUGCUCCAAG